AUUGAACGCUGGCGGCAGGCCUAACACAUGCAAGUCGAGCGGAUGACGGGAGCCUGCUCCUUGAUUCAGCGGCGGACGGGUGAGUAAUGCCUAGGAAUCUGCCUGGUAGUGGGGGACAACGUUUCGAAAGGAACGCUAAUACCGCAUACGUCCUACGGGAGAAAGCAGGGGACCUUCGGGCCUUGCGCUAUCAGAUGAGCCUAGGUCGGAUUAGCUAGUUGGUGGGGUAAUGGCUCACCAAGGCGACGAUCCGUAACUGGUCUGAGAGGAUGAUCAGUCACACUGGAACUGAGACAUGGUCCAGACUCCUACGGGAGGCAGCAGUGGGGAAUAUUGGACAAUGGGCGAAAGCCUGAUCCAGCCAUGCCGCGUGUGUGAAGAAGGUCUUCGGAUUGUAAAGCACUUUAAGUUGGGAGGAAGGGCAGUAAGUUAAUACCUUGCUGUUUUGACGUUACCAACAGAAUAAGCACCGGCUAACUUCGUGCCAGCAGCCGCGGUAAAAC
rnacentral:rRNA from 1 species